rnacentral:rRNA from 1 species
AUUCAUUGAGAAUUUGAUCUUGGUUCAGAUUGAACGCUGACGGCGUGGAUGAGGCAUGCAAGUCGAACGAAGUAGAGAUUUCGGUUUUUACUUAGUGGCGGAAGGGUUAGGAAUACAUAGAUAACUUACCUUUUACUUGGGAAUAACGGCUGGAAACGGCCGCUAAUACCGAAUGUGGUAACUCUAGGCAUCUAGGGAUUAUUAAAGCGGGGGAUCGGAAGACCUUGCGGUAGAAGAAGGGUCUAUGCGAUAUCAGCUAGUUGGUGAGGU